rnacentral:rRNA from 1 species
UACGAAGGGGGCUAGCGUUGCUCGGAAUCACUGGGCGUAAAGCGCACGUAGGCGGAUUGCUAAGUCAGGGGUGAAAUCCUGGAGCUCAACUCCAGAACUGCCUUUGAUACUGACGACCUUGAGUUCGGGAGAGGUGAGUGGAACUGCGAGUGUAGAGGUGAAAUUCGUAGAUAUUCGCAAGAACACCAGUGGCGAAGGCGGCUCACUGGACUGGUAUUGACGCUGAGGUGCGAAAGCGUGGGGAGCAAACAGG